UACGUAGGGGGCAAGCGUUGUCCGGAAUCAUUGGGCGUAAAGCGCGUGUAGGCGGCUCGAUAAGUCCGCUCUGAAAGUCCAGGGCUCAACCCUGGGAUGCGGGUGGAUACUGUCGGGCUCGAGUCCGGAAGAGGCGAGUGGAAUUCCUGGUGUAGCGGUGAAAUGCGCAGAUAUCAGGAGGAACACCAAUGGCGAAGGCAGCUCGCUGGGACGUGACUGACGCUGAGACGCGAAAGCGUGGGGAGCAAACGGG
rnacentral:rRNA from 1 species